CACACGACUCUCGGCAACGGAUAUCUUGGCUCUCGCAUCGAUGAAGAACGUAGCGAAAUGCGAUACCUGGUGUGAAUUGCAGAAUCCCAUGAACCAUCGAGUCUUUGAACGCAAGUUGCGCCCGAGGCCAUUCGGCCGAGGGCACGCCUGCCUGGGCGUCACGC
rnacentral:rRNA from 1 species